AGAUUGAACGCUGGCGGCAUGCUUUACACAUGCAAGUCGAGCGGCAGCGCGGGGGCAACCCUGGCGGCGAGCGGCGAACGGGUGAGGAACACAUCGGAACGUGCCCCGGAGUGGGGGAUAACGCCGCGAAAGCGGCGCUAAUACCGCAUAUGCUCUGAGGAGGAAAGCGGGGGACCUGUGAGGGCCUCGCGCUCUGGGAGCGGCCGAUGUCCGAUUAGCUAGUUGGUGGGUAAUGGCUCACCAAGGCGACGAUCGGUAGCUGGUCUGAGAGGAUGAUCAGCCACACUGGGACUGAGACACGGCCCAGACUCCUACGGGAGGCAGCAGUGGGAAUUUUGGACAAGUGGGGGCAACCCGUGAUCCAGCCAUCGCCGCGGUGGCGGGAAGAACGGUCCGUUCGGUUAGUAAACCGUCGUUUUAAGGUACGGUAAAGUAAAACGGUUAUACCCGUAAGUAAGGAUGACGUGUUAGACGGUACCGGACGGAAUAAGCGACCGGACUAACGUCGUAGCC
rnacentral:rRNA from 1 species